rnacentral:rRNA from 1 species
GAUGAACGCUGGCGGCGUGCCUAAUACAUGCAAGUCGAGCGAACGGACGAGAAGCUUGCUUCUCUGAUGUUAGCGGCGGACGGGUGAGUAACACGUGGAUAACCUACCUAUAAGACUGGGAUAACUUCGGGAAACCGGAGCUAAUACCGGAUAAUAUUUUGAACCGCAUGGUUCAAAAGUGAAAGACGGUCUUGCUGUCACUUAUAGAUGGAUCCGCGCUGCAUUAGCUAGUUGGUAAGGUAACGGCUUACCAAGGCAACGAUGCAUAGCCGACCUGAGAGGGUGAUAGGCCACACUGGAACUGAGCCACGGUCCAGACUCCUACGGGAGGCAGCAGUAGGGAAUCUUCCGCAAUGGGCGAAAGCCUGACGGAGCAACGCCGCGUGAGUGAUGAAGGUCUUCGGAUCGUAAAACUCUGUUAUUAGGUAAGAACAUAUGUGUAAGUAACUGUGCACAUCUUGACGGUACCUAAUCAGAAAGCCACGGCUAACUACGUG